rnacentral:rRNA from 1 species
UAAUACCAGCUCCUCGAGUGGUCGGGGCGAUUAUUGGGCCUAAAGCAUCCGUAGCCGGUUCCGUAGGUCCUCUGUUAAAUCCAACCGCUUAACGGUUGACCUGCAGAGGAUACCGCGGGACUAGGAGGCGGGAGAGGCGGACGGUACUCCGCGUGUAGGGGUAAAAUCCUUUGAUCCGCGGAAGACCACCAGUGGCGAAGGCGGUCCGCCAGAACGCGCUCGACGGUGAGGGAUGAAAGCUGGGGGAGCGAACCGGAUUAGAUACCCGGGUAGUCCCAGCCGUAAACGAUGCUAGCUAGAUGAUUCAUUCGCAAGUCGCGAAUGAAGUGUCGCAGGGAAGCCGUUAAGCUAGCCGCCUGGGGAGUACGGUCGCAAGACUGAAACUUAAAGGAAUUGA